rnacentral:rRNA from 1 species
UACAGAGGUCCCAAGCGUUGUUCGGAUUCACUGGGCGUAAAGGGUGCGUAGGUGGUCGGGUAAGUUUGAUGUGAAAGCUCGGAGCUCAACUCCGAAAUGGCAUUGAAUACUACUCGGCUAGAGGGUCGGAGGGGGGACUGGAAUUCUCGGUGUAGCAGUGAAAUGCGUAGAUAUCGAGAGGAACACCAGUGGCGAAGGCGAGUCCCUGGACGACUCCUGACACUGAGGCACGAAAGCUAGGGGAG